rnacentral:rRNA from 1 species
UAGGGAAUCUUCCACAAUGGACGCAAGUCUGAUGGAGCAACGCCGCGUGAGUGAAGAAGGCUUUCGGGUCGUAAAACUCUGUUAUUGAAGAAGAACGUGUGUGACAGUAACUGGUCAUGCAGUGACGGUAUUCAAUCAGAAAGUCACGGCUAACUACGUGCCAGCAGCCGCGGUAAUACGUAGGUGGCAAGCGUUGUCCGGAUUUAUUGGGCGUAAAGCGAGUGCAGGCGGUCUUUUAAGUCUGAUGUGAAAGCCUUCGGCUUAACCGAAGAAGGGCAUCGGAAACUGGGAGACUUGAGUGCAGAAGAGGAGAGUGGAACUCCAUGUGUAGCGGUGAAAAUGCGUAGAUAUAUGGAAGAACACCAGUGGCGAGGGCGGCUCUCUGGUCUGUAACUGACGCUGAGGCUCGAAAAGCGUGGGGUAGCAAAACAGGAUUAGAUACCCUGGUAGUCCACGCCGUAAAACGAUGAAUACUAAGUGUUGGAGGG